rnacentral:rRNA from 1 species
UACGUAGGUGGCAAGCGUUGUCCGGAUUUACUGGGCGUAAAGAGCGCGCAGGCGGUCGAAUAAGUCGAAUGUGAAAGCCCCCGGCUCAACUGGGGAGGGUCAUUCGAUACUGUUCGACUCGAAGGCAGGAGAGGGAAGUGGAAUUCCGGGUGUAGUGGUGAAAUGCGUAGAUAUCCGGAGGAACACCAGUGGCGAAGGCGACUUUCUGGCCUGUUCUUGACGCUGAGGCGCGAAAGCUAGGGGAGCAAACGGGG